rnacentral:rRNA from 1 species
UGGGGAAUAUUGGGCAAUGGAGGGAACUCUGACCCAGCGACGCCGCGUGCGGGAUGAAGGCCUUCGGGUUGUAAACCGCUUUCAGCAGGGAAGAAGCGAAAGUGACGGUACCUGCAGAAGAAGCACCGGCUAACUAUGUGCCAGCAGCCGCGGUAAUACAUAGGGUGCAAGCGUUGUCCGGAAUUAUUGGGCGUAAAGAGCUCGUAGGUGGCUUGGUAAGCGUGUGGUGAAAGCCCGGGGCUCAACCCCGGGUCUGCCGUGCGAACUGCCUGGCUUGAGCGUAGUAGAGGCAGGUGGAAUUUCGGGUGUAGCGGUGAAAUGCGUAGAUAUCUGGAGGAACAUCAGUGGCGAAAGCGACUUCCUGGUCCAACAUUGACAUUCAGGUGCGAAAGCGUGGGGAGCAAACAGG